rnacentral:rRNA from 1 species
AUUGAACGCUGGCGGCAUGCCUUACACAUGCAAGUCGAACGGCAGCACGGGAGCAAUCCUGGUGGCGAGUGGCGAACGGGUGAGUAAUAUAUCGGAACGUGCCCAGUCGUGGGGGAUAACGCAGCGAAAGCUGUGCUAAUACCGCAUACGAUCUACGGAUGAAAGCGGGGGAUCGCAAGACCUCGCGCGAUUGGAGCGGCCGAUAUCAGAUUAGCUAGUUGGUGAGGUAAUGGCUCACCAAGGCGACGAUCUGUAGCUGGUCUGAGAGGACGACCAGCCACACUGGAACUGAGACACGGUCCAGACUCCUACGGGAGGCAGCAGUGGGGAAUUUUGGACAAUGGGCGCAAGCCUGAUCCAGCAAUGCCGCGUGCAGGAUGAAGGCCUUCGGGUUGUAAACUGCUUUUGUACGGAGCGAAACGGUCUUUCCUAAUACGAGAGGCUAAUGACGGUACCGUAAGAAUAAGCACCGGCUAACUACGUGCCAGCCGCCGCCGUAA